CAGCCGCCGCGGUAAUACGUAGGUGGCAAGCGUUGUCCGGAUUUAUUGGGCGUAAAGGGAGCGCAGGUGGUUUCUUAAGUCUGAUGUGAAAGCCCACGGCUUAACCGUGGAGGGUCAUUGGAAACUGGGAAACUUGAGUACAGAAGAGGAAUGUGGAACUCCAUGUGUAGCGGUGGAAUGCGUAGAUAUAUGGAAGAACACCAGUGGCGAAGGCGACAUUCUGGUCUGUUACUGACACUGAGGCUCGAAAGCGUGGGGAGCAAACAGGAUUAGAUACCCUGGUAGUCCACGCCGUAAACGAUGAGUGCUAGGUGUUGGAGGGUUUCCGCCCUUCAGUGCCGCAGCUAACGCAUUAAGCACUCCGCCUGGGGAGUACGACCGCAAGGUUGAAACUUAAAGGAAUUGGCGGG
rnacentral:rRNA from 1 species